CUAGACGUAACUAUUGAUUGCACCUCAACCCGCAAUCCGCCAGAGGACUACAAGCGAAAAACUUAAAACUCAAAGGACUUGACGGUGUCCCACCCGUACUAGAGGAGCCUGUCCGAUAAUCGAUAACCCGCGCUUUACCUUACCCCCCCUAGAGACUCAGCCUAUAUACCGCCGUCGCCAGCCCAUCGCGCGUGAGUGAACCAUCGAGGACGCAAGAAUUAUAAACUAAAACGACAGGUCAAGGUGUAGCUAAUGGGGGGGACAGAGAUGAGCUACAUUUUCUUUACUAGAAAACACCAACCACAGGAUGAAACAUCCUGCCACCAGGCGGAUUUAGAAGUAAGCCUUGGCAAGACAGGCCAAUCUGAAUGUGCCCUGGGACGA
rnacentral:rRNA from 1 species